GACUUUAGGACCCAGGAGCGAGUAGCAAGGGCUUAAAGGCUGAGGUGUCCAUAGGGGCGGGUUCUUGUGUUUUCAGUCAGCUGCUUAGCCAGGGAAACGGAGUGGAGUGGAACCGCGAUUACAGAUGAGUGUUGGUGGCCAGUGUGAUGGCGUUCCGUAUGUUGAAGGGUUUGUGCGCAGUCACCAGUAAUUGAAUCACGGAAGCGUCUCUGGAUUUAACGCCGAAUGGGCGUGUAACUAGAAUAUCUCGAUAUCCGCUGGGAACUCUCUCUCA